GGAACGGGCGCGCACCAUUGGGCCGGUGCGCAGGAAUUGUCCCCUCCGUCUUGUGUCAGAGUGUGCAGGCGCCGAGGCCCCGGCGGCGCCCUGC
rnacentral:ncRNA from 1 species